GACGAACGCUGGCGGCGUGCCUAACACAUGCAAGUCGAACGGAAAGGCCCUGCGUUUGUGGGGUGCUCGAGUGGCGAACGGGUGAGUAACACGUGAGUAACCUGCCCUUGACUGUGGGAUAACAUCAGGAAACAGGGGCGAAUACCGGGUAGGAGCUCCUGCUGCACGGUGGGGGUUGGAAAGUUUCGGCGGUUGGGGAUGGACUCGCGGCUUAUCAGCUGGUUGGUGGGGUAGUGGCUUACGAAGGCUUUGACGGGUAGCCGGCCUGAGAGGGUGACCGGCGACAUUGGGACUAAGGGACGGCCCAGACUCCAACGGGAGGCAGCAGUGGGGAGUAUUGCGCAAUGGGCGGGAGCCUGAUGCAGCGACGCUGCGUGCGGGAUGCCGGCCUUCGGGUUGUAAACCGCUUUCGCCUGUGACGAAGCGUGAGUGACGGUAAUGGGUAAAGAAGCACCGGCUAACUACGUG
rnacentral:rRNA from 1 species